AGUGAACGCUGGCGGUAGGCCUAACACAUGCAAGUCGAACGGCAGCACAGUAAGAGCUUGCUCUUACGGGUGGCGAGUGGCGGACGGGUGAGGAAUACAUCGGAAUCUACUUUUUCGUGGGGGAUAACGUAGGGAAACUUACGCUAAUACCGCAUACGACCUACGGGUGAAAGCAGGGGAUCUUCGGACCUUGCGCGAUUGAAUGAGCCGAUGUCGGAUUAGCUAGUUGGCGGGGUAAAGGCCCACCAAGGCGACGAUCCGUAGCUGGUCUGAGAGGAUGAUCAGCCACACGGGAACUGGGACACGGUCCAGACUCCUACGGGAGGCAGCGGUGGGGAAUAUUGGACAAGGGGCGCAAGCCUGAUCCAGCCAUACCGCGUGGGUGAAGAAGGCCUUCGGGUUGUAAAGCCCUUUUGUUGGGAAAAAAAAGCAGCAGGUUAAUACCCCGCUGUUCUGACGGUACCCAAAGAAUAAGCACCGGCUAACUUCGUG
rnacentral:rRNA from 1 species